rfam:Picea glauca, whole genome shotgun sequence.
GUAACGGUGUCUUUAGACACCACCUUAUAUCUUCAAAAAAAUAUUU